GUCCCUACAACAUCCAUUUUAUCCACAGCUGGUACACAACUAAUGAUUCAACUAGGUCAUUUAUUUAUAUUUUAAAUUGCCUUCUAUGCUCUGUCAGAAGCCUACUUAACACUGAAUAAUCUAAAGCCCUGGUUCUUCUAUAGAUCUGGUAAGUAAAAGUGUUUUACAAAUGAGUUCUACUGAAAUAUUUUAAAUGUUUGCCCUUCCCACUCCCAUUUCCUAAUCCCUAUUCCAUGAAGCUUAGGUCAAUACAACAGUUUACGUAUGUUAACAUUUACAGAAGAAGAAUUCAAACAGAGGUGAAAUGAAAGAGAUUGAUCUUUGAGCACUUUCCCAUGAAAAUGUUGUUAUAUAUCCUUUGUGAUAUAAAAUUUUAAAUCAUAGAAUUAUAAAUAUUUGUAAGGAACACAGUCAUAUUUUAAUUAAAAAGAAAGGACUAAAAGAAGUUAAAUGCCUUUCCUUUGUCUAUAUGACUGUAUUGUAAUAAAUUAGUCUUCUUUCUCUGGAUGAAUAUCAGCAAAACUAACUUUCUAUGUAUUUCUUUUGAGUUUCAAACAGGAAACUUUAUCUGGGAAUACUUUAACAGUUCAUCUCUGGAAAUUUACAAGAGCUCUACAACUGUCCAUCGAAACUUCACUAUAAUGUGCUUAAGAGCCCUUAUAUGUGAUAUAAUUUUUAUAUGUUUUCAUCAGUAAGGAUAUCUUUAUGGACAAAUUCCAAAUGACUAAACAUGUAUGUGUAUGUGUGUUUCACACAUUGUCACCAUAAAGUAAGUUCUUACUGUUAUCAUUAGACUUACACAGAUGAAUAGAUGGACAAAUAGGUAGGUAUGUCUGUUCAGAAUGAUAUUAUCUUGGUUGGAUUGCCAUUAGUAUCAGAAAAGAAAGUGUUCUUUUCAAUACCUAUGAUUUAAGGGACAUUUUGCUAUAAGCUCUAAUAUUUCAUAAUUUCCAUUCAAAACAAUAUACCAAAUGAGAAGGAUGGAAAGAAUAGUCAAGGCUUCUGCCUAUGAAUCAAGACAAUGGAUGUGGGCAAUAAGUCUACCAUGUCUGAAUUUGUUUUGCUGGGGCUCUCUAAUUCCUGGGAACUACAGAUGUUUUUCUUUAUGGUGUUUUCAUUGCUUUAUGUGGCAACAAUGGGAAUAUUUUCAAAACUGUGCUGCUUUUUGCAAUAUAAAACUGUGGAAUCUUUUGGAAGAGACGCUAUUGAUUUUCUGUGCUUUUGUGGAGAAUUCUGAAACUCAAGAACAUUUGCCAAAAUACCCUCAAAGGUGUAGCUGAUCAGCAGACAACUCUAUAAGGCAAGUCAAUAAUGAGAUUAAGUAGUUGGAUUGAUAGUAAAGUUCUGUGGCUGUAAUAAAAAGGAUUACAGAAAGCCUUUGGAGGGCUUACAUAUAUAAACGGAACUAUCACAUUUCUCGGUGGCUUAGUGUGAGGAGUCAAUAUUCAUGGUACCUCUGCAUGUUAUAUAAACACUUAAAAAUCUUAGUUAGGACUUUAGGACUCAUGGUGGAUGGUUUUAUCGAUAUAUCUCUUAGACAAGAUGCUGACACUCUUUUACCAAGGAUAACUGCAGUGACAUGGCCAUGGACUCGUUAAGCAAUAGUAAGGAUGGUGCCAGCUGCCACCGGAGUUUCCAGAGACAGAGAUAAUGUUCUGCAGAGAAUGCAAGAUAAGCAGGCAAGUAUAAUUUUAAGUGAUCUGCACUAUCUGCAAUAACACAAUUGAGGGAGUUCUGGAGCAUUUAUAAGAAGACUGUGUUGACAAGCAACUUCAUCUUCCUCUACGUGUUUAGAAAGCUGUGAAGCUUGACAACAAUUGAAUGCCGAUGGUAUAGAAAUCAGGUAUAGCUAAAACCAGAUAAAGUGUAAAUUUUAAUAUGUGAAGGAACUGGAUAUAUUAAUAGCAAUAAAAACUACAAAUUAUGUUUGUUUCUAAAAAUGCUUAAGAAAACUUUUAGAAUACUAUAUGGUAUAAUGAUGGUAUAGAAUACUAUAUGGUAUAAUAAUUGUAAAGCUUAGGUUUUAUAACUCGUCCUUUGCAUGGAUUUCCUCGAAGGCCCUAGAAUGGAAACUGACAACCUUUUAUUAGUUAUUUCGAUUUUUUUUUCCUGAAACAGGUGUCCUCAAACUGUAUAAGCUUUAAGCCUAGCUUGUCCAACCCAUGACCUGCAGGUUGCAUGCGGCUCAGGAGAUGGCUUUAAAUUCAGCCCAACACAAAUUCAUAAGCUUUCUUGAAACAUUAUAAGAUUUUCUUGUGAUUUUUUUGUAAAGCUCAUCAGCUAUCUUUAGUAUCAGUGUAUUUUAUGUGUGGCCCAACACAAUUCUUCUUCCAAUGUGGCCCAGAGAAGCCAAAACUUUGGACACCCCUGCAUUAAAAGGCUCUGCAGAAUCUGAAGUCUAAUAUGUAGUUUUAAAAGUCUUAGACUCUGGUAUCUUUUUUUUUUUUUUAAAAAAGCAGUGUUUAAUACUACUUCUACUACUAGUGGUGUAAACUUAAGCUAAGUACUUAAUACCUCUUAGCCUCAGUUUCUACAUAUGUUAAAGGAGAUAAUAGUGGUCUCUACACCACAGAGUUAUUUGAGGCAUAAAAGAAGCAAAUAAUAUGAUGUUAUACUUUUUCAUGCAAAGGAUCUUGAUGUCUUGCUUUAUCUCUUUUGGGAAUGAUAGUGCUAUUGUUGCUGUAGUAGUUGAUAUCUCUAACCAUUUUUGUUGGCUGAAGCUUAUUCUCUACUAUAUUCCUCAGGAAGUCUUCUUGAAGACCCUAUUCUCUGAAUUCUGGCGUGUUGGCAAGUUUCUUUGAAACAUUUAUGUACUGUAAUUUCAUUGGCUAUUCCUUUAUUUUCUUGAUUAUCUUAAAUUGAAAUAAUGACUCUCUUUGUAAGCACUUUGUCUGGAGUCUGCAAAGCCUGUGUUUUUCUUCACUCACCCUAGCAUACCAUACAAUUGGAAGUUUGGAACUGAUCUUUUAAUUUUUGAAGGGAGGUAUUAAUGACCCUUCUGAUAUUUACAUUAGUAGUCCCUCUAAAGUAAUUAAAUAGGACUCCAUUGCACUCAAGAGAUUUUAAAACAUUUAAAUUUCUAAAUUUCCUUUAAGUAUAUUAAAAUGUACCUAAAUAAAAUUGUUCUUCAAGAGUAACAUGUAAUUGAAUCAUCAACAUCUUUAUAUAACUUUUCCAAUUUUUUAAAGAAAGAUACCUCUCUUGCAGCUCAAUUGCUUUUUAAAUAAAAUAAAUUUGAAUCCCUGUUUGUACCUGGAGACCGUUUUGAUCUGCCCUCCUCACCUCACAUUUCACACAUGGAGAAAAAAAGUCUGCAC
rnacentral:sRNA from 1 species